rnacentral:ribozyme from 1 species
CCCCCCCCCCCCUCUGCAACGGGGUAGGAUCCGAAACCUCUUGCAGGUUAACACAGGCUCUCCUACUCAACUCCUAUUCCGACACGUCCUCGUCGUGCAGAGUGGCAGCACACAUCAUCAAUUAAUCCA